GUCCCUUGUGUUAAGGUGCAUCUAGUGCAGUUAGUGAAGUAGCUUAGAAUCUACUGCCCUAAAUGCUCCUUCUGGCACAAGCU
rnacentral:pre_miRNA from 1 species